UAAAACUAUGGGGUAUAUAUGCCAGAAAGUUGCUAAGCAAGCAGAAGAAAGAAAUGGCAAUCGUGUGACAUGAUGCAGGUAUUAGCUAUUGCUACAGUGAUCAUCGCUUUGCAAUACGUGUGUCUAAUGAUGCGUGCACCUUAAACAUGCAUAAUGUUAUACAUCAAUUAUAUCUCAGUGAAGCUGGAAAUAUGUAUACUCUCCACAUUCUAACCAAAGUUAGAAAAAGUUGAACUCCCAGUACCGGCAAAACAUUUCCUGGGAUGAUGUGUGGGAGGCCCUCCAUAAGGGGCCAGCUUAGAAAAAACAUCCUAGUUGGCAACUCUUGUUUUUAAUAUUAUUGUCAUCGAUGUUGCUGUCCCGGUGACAGACCUCACCUGCUGUGCUGGUCUAAGGCACGGCAGAUAACUCCUCUGGAGCUCAUCUUCGUCUUCUGUAGCACCAUUGCAGUACCUGCCUCACAGAUUUGGGGUGAGGAGAGGAUGAACCAGGAUCCCUUAAUGUUGGUGUUCAUUAGGGAAAUCGUUAUUGAGGAAACUGAGCCUGACUCGGUAGGGCCGUCGUGUGUCCCAGACUGGGAGGCAGGGGCAGCCUGGCAGGACAACACGACACGGGCUCUGCCACCUUCUGGCCGUGUGACCAGGGCAAGCCUCCCGCCUCUCCUGGCCUCAGUUUCUCCCUCUGGAUAGAGCAGGUGAUCUCCCAGGGCCCUGAACUUGUUGGUGGAUGGAGCUCCAGGUGCCAGGGGAUAGGGAGGCAGCUAGAGGAGGGGCAGAAAAUUCAGGCAAGGCCAGGCGAGCAGAAUAGAGAGGCCCUGGCACAACUGGGGACAGCUAACAGCUGUUGGGAUGGAACCUAGCUUCUGACACCUUGAAGGACCUGGUCAGCCUUGGCUUAGGUAUGGAUCCAGUUUGUGAACAGGGCAGGGGAGCAGGAGGCAGGGCUGCUGCGCUGGACACCUGCCAUUCACCCCGGAGACCCGAUGGCCGCCCUUAUCCCCCCGCUGUGCUGGGAGGGGACUCAGAGGGCUGCGUCCGUUCAGCACCUCCCCCCGCAGCUUCCUGUUGGCUCUGCCAGUGGGGAGCCCUGGCAAGCCCUAGAGUGAGG
ensembl:lncRNA